rnacentral:tRNA from 1 species
CGCGGGGUGGAGCAGCCCGGUAGCUCGUCAGGCUCAUAACCUGAAGGUCGUAGGUUCGAAUCCUACCCCCGCCA